rnacentral:rRNA from 1 species
AUGAACGCUGGCGGCGUGCCUCAUACAUGCAAGUCGAGCGCACGGGCGAGAAGCUUGCUUCUCUGAUGUUAGCGGCGGACGGGUGAGUAACACGUGGAUAACCUACCUAUAAGACUGGGAUAACUUCGGGAAACCGGAGCUAAUACCGGAUGAUAUUUUGAACCGCAUGGUUCAAAAGUGAAAGACGGUCUUGCUGUCACUUAUAGAUGGAUCCGCGCUGCAUUAGCUAGUUGGUAAGGUAACGGCUUACCAAGGCAACGAUGCAUAGCCGACCUGAGAGGGUGAUCGGCCACACUGGAACUGAGACACGGUCCAGACUCCUACGGGAGGCAGCAGUAGGGAAUCUUCCGCAAUGGGCGAAAGCCUGACGGAGCAACGCCGCGUGAGUGAUGAAGGUCUUCGGAUCGUAAAACUCUGUUAUUAGGGAAGAACAUAUGUGUAAGUAACUGUGCACAUCUUGACGGUACCUAAUCAGAAAGCCACGGCUAACUACGUG